ensembl:rRNA 5S_rRNA 5S ribosomal RNA
GUCUAUGGCCAUGCUACACUGAACAAGCCCGAUUCUGUUUGAUUUCAAAAGCGAAGCAGGGAUGAGCCUGGUUAGUACUUGGCUGGGAGAGCACCUAGGAAAACCAGGUGCUGUAGGCA